UGGCGCCCAAACUUGGGGCUUAAAACACGGGGUCUUCACCUGGUGGACGCUGCUCGAACGAUAGGCCAAUCAACCCCAGGACCUCCACCCAGUUGGCGAGUUUGGCUCCGCGUACAAUCCGCUCAGACUGACCCAUCUGAGAAAGCGACCUGUGAGAUAAGUGAGCAACGCAAAAUAUGGGACAACAAUUAAAUAAGCAUCAGUUGUUUGUUAAAGGUUUAAAAUCUUCCUUUAAAGAUGCAGGGAGUUCGGGUUAAGAAAAAGGAUCUAAGUUUUUUAAAUUUGUAGAAGAGACUUGUCCUU
rfam:Fukomys damarensis contig144725, whole genome shotgun sequence.